rnacentral:rRNA from 1 species
GACGAACGCUGGCGGCGUGCUUAACACAUGCAAGUCGAACGGAAAGGCCCUGCUUUUGUGGGGUGCUCGAGUGGCGAACGGGUGAGUAACACGUGAGUAACCUGCCCUUGACUUUGGGAUAACUUCAGGAGACUGGGGCUAAUACCGGAUAGGAGCUCCUGCUGCAUGGUGGGGGUUGGAAAGUUUCGGCGGUUGGGGAUGGACUCGCGGCUUAUCAGCUUGUUGGUGGGGUAGUGGCUUACCAAGGCUUUGACGGGUAGCCGGCCUGAGAGGGUGACCGGCCACAUUGGGACUGAGGUACGGCCCAGACUCCUACGGGAGGCAGCAGUGGGGAAUAUUGCACAAUGGGCGGAAGCCUGAUGCAGCAACGCCGCGUGCGGGAUGACGGCCUUCGGGUUGUAAACCGCUUUCGCCUGUGACGAAGCGUGAGUGACGGUAAUGGGUAAAGAAGCACCGGCUAACUACGUG